rnacentral:rRNA from 1 species
UGGGGAAUUUUGGACAAUGGGCGAAAGCCUGAUCCAGCCAUGCCGCGUGAGUGAAGAAGGCCUUCGGGUUGUAAAGCUCUUUUAGUCGGAAAGAAAGAGUUGCAAUGAAUAAUUGUGAUUUAUGACGGUACCGACAGAAAAAGCACCGGCUAACUACGUGCCAGCAGCCGCGGUAAUACGUAGGGUGCGAGCGUUAAUCGGAAUUACUGGGCGUAAAGGGUGCGCAGGCGGUCUUGCAAGUCAGAUGUGUAAGCCCCGGGCUUAACCUGGGAAUUGCGUUUGAAACUACAAGGCUAGAGUGCAGCAGAGGGGAGUGGAAUUCCAUGUGUAGCAGUGAAAUGCGUAGAGAUGUGGAAGAACACCGAUGGCGAAGGCAGCUCCCUGGGUUGACACUGACGCUCAUGCACGAAAGCGUGGGGAGCAAACA